rnacentral:lncRNA from 1 species
CUUUAGACCUCCUUUAUGGGUGGAGGAUUGGGCUUUAGUUGGUAAAUUGGUUGGCAUGAUCCCGCUUGAUCAGGAUGUGACUUGUACGAGGUGACGGGAUUAUCGCUCGAGAUUUUUAGGGUAUGGUGGUUGUAGUCACCUCAUUAGUUUCAUGACAGUUGUCAUCGAGCGACAUUGAAUUUUGAAUUGGAUCACCAACUGGAUGUCGUCGAGAUGGGGAUUAUUCGGUGA